CUCCCUGUGAUAAGCCCCUUUCUCUUCAGUGAGAACAUGCUGUUGUUUUUCUCCUCCUACCAGCACAACGCUUUUCCCAAGAAACAAUGGAAAUGCAAACAAUUGACGACUGCUGCAAUUUUAAAAAGGGGGAGGACGUAGUCGGCAGGAUUCGAACUUGUGCGGGGGAGACCCCAAUGGAUCUAGUCCAUCGCCUUAACCACUCGGCCACGACUACUAGACUGCCUGUACUGCCAUUUCUUUAUGCCUAGUACACAUAUUGUGCAUCCAGAUGAUACUUUGAUCAAGCGAAAGCUCAACAGCAAAAGCUGUGGCUCCACAAAAUGAGCGUCACACGCCCGAACAGGGACUUGAACCCUGGACCCUCAGAUUAAAAGUCUGAUGCUCUACCGACUGAGCUAUCCGGGCUCCACAACAGUAGUUUACAAGUAGGCAAGGUUUGGGUUCUGGAAAAAGAAUUGAUCCGUUCAUCUCUUGAGUCCUCUAUCGGGUCUGAGUCACUCGUUCAUGGGCCAAUCAUACGCAUUUAGAGCCGGA
ensembl:processed_transcript